UUACUAACAACUAACUAACAUUUAUUUGACAUUUUCUGAAAGGAAUUCAUUCUGGAACAAGCUUCCCAGACGCCAAGGCAACGCUGUGAACCUCAGUGUGGGCUAUUC